UGAGUUCCCACACAGCCCGCUGUUCU
rnacentral:piRNA from 1 species